rnacentral:rRNA from 1 species
AUUAGAUACAAAACCAAUGCCCCUCGGGGCUCUCUGGUGAUUCAUGAUAACUCGUCGAAUCGCACGGCCUUGCGCCGGCGAUGGUUCAUUCAAAUUUCUUCCCUAUCAACUUUCGAUGUUUGGGUAGUGGCCAAACAUGGUGGCAACGGGUAACGGAGGGUUAGGGCUCGACCCCGGAGAAGGAGCCUGAGAAACGGCUACUACAUCCAAGGAAGGCAGCAGGCGCGCAAAUUACCCAAUCCCGAUACGGGGAGGUAGUGACAAUAAAUACUGAUACAGGGCUCUUUUGGGUCUUGUAAUUGGAAUGAGUACAAUUUAAAUCCCUUAACGAGGAACAAUUGGAGGGCAAGUCUGGUGCCAGCAGCCGCGGUAAUUCCAGCUCCAAUAGCGUAUAUUAAAGUUGUUGUGGUUAAAAAGCUCGUAGUUGAAUCUUGGGCCUGGCUGGCCGGUCCGCCUCACCGCGUGUACUGGUCCGGCCGGGUCUUUCACUCUGCGGAACCACAUGCCCUUCAGUGGG